AGUGAACGCUGGCGGUAGGCCUAACACAUGCAAGUCGAACGGCAGCACAGUAAGAGCUUGCUCUUACGGGUGGCGAGUGGCGGACGGGUGAGGAAUACAUCGGAAUCUACUUUUUCGUGGGGGAUAACGUAGGGAAACUUACGCUAAUACCGCAUACGACCUACGGGUGAAAGCAGGGGAUCUUCGGACCUUGCGCGAUUGAAUGAGCCGAUGUCGGAUUAGCUAGUUGGCGGGGGAAAGGCCCACCAAGGCGACGAUCCGUAGCUGGUCUGAGAGGAUGAUCAGCCACACUGGAACUGAGACACGGUACAGACUCCUACGGGAGGCAGCAGUGGGGAAUAUUGGGCAAUGGGCGAAAGCCUGAUCCAGCCAUACCGCGGGGGUGAAGAAGGCCUUCGGGUUGGAAAGCCCUUUUGUUGGGAAAGAAAAGCAGCAGGUUAAUACCCCGCUGUUCUGACGGUACCCAAAGAAUAAGCACCGGCUAACUUCGUG
rnacentral:rRNA from 1 species